GUAGGGUGCAAGCGUUAAUCGGAAUUACUGGGCGUAAAGCGUGCGCAGGCGGUAUGGUAAGACAUAUGUGAAAUCCCCGGGCUUAACCUGGGAAUGGCAUUUGUGACUGCCCGGCUAGAGUGUGUCAGAGGGGGGUAGAAUUCCACGUGUAGCAGUGAAAUGCGUAGAGAUGUGGAGGAAUACCGAUGGCGAAGGCAGCCCCCUGGGAUAACACUGACGCUCAUGCACGAAAGCGUGGGGAGCAAACAGGAUUAGAUACCCUGGUAGUCCACGCCCUAAACGAUGUCUACUAGUUGUCGGGUCUUAAUUGACUUGGUAACGCAGCUAACGCGUAAAGUAGACCGCCUGGGGAGUACGGUCGCAAGAUUA
rnacentral:rRNA from 1 species